ACACCUGAAUCAUCACAGAGCUGUAGUGUUUCAGGACCGGUUAACAGGGAAAAUCCUGGUGAUUGGUAGUCAACUGCAAGGUUUAUACAUGUGUGGACUCCAUCUUCUGUUCUAUCUGGCAAGACCCCUUAUGAAUUACUUUAUAAUUUCAGUCCCUUCUUAAAUCAUUUAAAGGUGUUUGGGUGUUUGUGUUUUUGUACAAGUUUAAAUGUAAGUGACAAACUAAGCAGUAGAGCUGAAAAGUGUGUUUUUAUUGGUUAUUCAUAUGAGAAAAAAGGUUAUAAAUUGUAUAGUCUAGAUACUAAAGUAGUAAUGUUUU